AACGACCACAUUUUUGCAUUGUUUAUGUUCAAUGUUUGACCAUUUAUCUUAUUUGAAAAAAAAUAAUGAUUAUAGUACUUUCUUAUUGUUAUUAGAUGAUAAAACAUAAAUAGUACUUUAUGCGUGACUAAAUUUUUAACUUUUUAAUACUUUUUUAAAAUAAGAUGGAUAGUCAAACAUUUAACAUAGAAAUCCACAACAACAUUUAAA
rfam:Oryza sativa Japonica Group DNA, chromosome 1, cultivar: Nipponbare, complete sequence.